rnacentral:rRNA from 1 species
CCUGUAUGUUAAACGAGAAGACUUUAGAUAUGAUCCAGAGUACCACGGGACACGUGAAACCCUGUGGGAAGCAGGAGGGACCACCCUCCAAGGCUAAAUACUACCUAGUGACCGAUAGCGUAUAGUACCGUGAGGGAAAGGUGAAAAGAACCCCGGGAGGGGAGUGAAAUAGAACCUGAAACCCUGCACUUACAAGCUGUGGAAGCACAUUUCUUGUGUGACCGCGUACUUUUUGUAGAACGGGCCAACGAGUUACG